AUGCCACUGCCAAAAAAAAAACUUUAUUUAGACAAACUGUCCGAGAUAAACAAGAUAGAUCCAUAUGAUUUAGCAGCCCAAGACUGGAUUACGGAUCCAGACGCAGUACCUCCGCUCACAUAUAUGGACAUCGUCAAUUACCUCGUUUUAGGAUUGAGUGCGUACACUUUGCAGGAGUUUAAGAGCUAUAAAUCCCUUCAAGCCCAUGAACAGUUUUGCAGCGGCUGGGUACAAGACCUCCUCAUUCACAGGCCGCCUAACUGCAAGAGCACAGUCGUACUGGCAAAGGUGAUGCACUCCCAGCGCCUUAGUGAAGUUCCUCUGAAGGCUUGGGUUAUUAUCAACACCAAUGGUGAAGUUUCCUCAGCCCACUGUACGUGAAUGCCUUGAGUCGCAGAGACAUGCUCCCAUGUUGACGAAUGUCAGUAACCAAACAGUUACCUGGAACCACUGACUUCCAUAGAUUUUUUUUUUCCUGCUAUGGAAGUCAGUGGUUCCAGGUAACUGUUUGGUUACUGACAUUCUUCAAAAUAUCUUCCUUUGUGUUCAGCAGAAGAAAGAAAUUCAUACAGGUUUGAAACAACUUGAGGGUGAAUAAAUGAUGACAGAAUUUUCAUUUUAAAGUGAACUAUCCCUUUAAAGGGUCUCUGUGGAUACAAUCAGUACAGAAACAGAUACGUCACUUAAUGUAUUUAUUAAGCAGUUAUAUAAAAACUUGAGUCAGAAACAUUUUAAAAAGGCAUGUAAAAAAUAUGUACAGAAUAUCAAAGCAAAUUGUUCAUUGAAAAAAUAAAUAAUUUUUGAUUCAUGCAAUGUGGCCUGUCUUUAUCAUCUGCUAACAUAAACCACAAAUUCAACAUCAUUCAUCAGCUAUCCUACAAAUCAUCAAGGAAUAUACAAUACACAACACCUCUUGCUUUGUACAACUUUUAACAAACGUUUUUACAAACCAGUUGAUUUAGCAAUCACUGCACAACACUUGGACACAUGUUUGUAAGAGCACAGCAGACUGUGACAACUUUCUUCUUGUUCUUUCUCCUCUCCUGGCCUCUUGCUAAUUACCUGAUGUUUGAGGUAUUUUCUUAACUGACGUGCAAACCUCUCUUUGUUCAUCCCUUUCACUUCAUUGUGGCCCAGAAGCAAAGAUGGUGCCCAGUCAGGAUGAGUAUCCAGCAUUUCAAAUGCUGGUUGUCCUGUAAAUAAAAAAUUAUUUUUUUCUGCUUCCCUUGUUGUUUUUUCCAGGAAGGAAAGCUGAAAAAACGUAUUCCGUUGUUCAGUUUCCUCCCUGAACGAUCGUGUGACCUGCUAUGGCAGUUUUUGGUCGAGCAGUACUGGCCAACCAUAUCGACGUUUAUUAAAAUCUCGACAGAAAAUCCAAACACAGCCUCCAACACACAAAUUCAAAUACAGCGGUAUAGGGCACGAUCCUGCAAAUAUGGCGGAGGACCCAUAAUGCAACACGGCGUGAUGUCACCUUCACAUUCCCUAUAAAAGAUUGUAGCGUUUAUGAUGAGCCUUGAAGUGCCUCAUUACGAAGAAGUUAUUCAGAAAAUUGCAUGCACUAUGAUCAACAUCUUAAUUAUGCUGUGCAAGUCUGCUAGAUAAACAAGCACGAAACGCCCAGUGCUUUAUUUGAACGUGUGAGUAGAAAUCAUUGCAGAGAAUAAAAUUAAUGCCCAGGUGCCACAAGUGCAUAGAACAAAAUGAUACGUAUAAUGCUGUAGACUGGUGAAGUGAUGGAGGUGAGAUGCCGAAGAGACCGGCAGCCUUAAUUCUGUCUGCUGGUCCGGAGAGACUUCAUUCGUGCAGGUUCACGUGAGCGUACAGAUGAAUAUUUGUUGAUUGAGACCAAAGUCUUUUCAGGUGUUGAGACCCAAGCAGCACUGACGCGACAUCUCGGAAAGCACCGGCGUUGCCAAGACAGUUCUUUUUUUUUUUUUUUUUUUUGUGGGUUGCUAUUUCUGUCCUGGGUUUGAGGUGACCCCAAUAGUGUCAUAUAUAGCCCCUAGAAUGUGAAUUCUACCGAUAAAUCCCUUUUGAACGCGAUUGGGCUAUUUAUUUAUUUUAUUUUAUUUUUUUUAUUUUUUUUUUUGUAGUAACUGGCGGUUUUGAGAAACCUGGCAACCCUGGCCUGGAAGCACACAGAACUCCGCCAAUGUUCACAUCCUCUGCCGAGAAAAGCUUGAUCAUCCAACACAAACGACUGCAGAUAAUCACCGCGACACGGAGCUAAGCCAAUGAUCCCGUGUGCAUCUUAGAGGAACGUCAAACUCUAGAUAGUUUGCGGGGCACGAACUUAACUACAGCAAGUAAAUGAAUAAACGCAACAGCUUGAGCAAGGACAAUCGCGUCGGAAUCUGCAGUUGUUGUCGUGUCAGCAUCUGCGAACUCAAACAUGUGUAAGUACGAUCUUUUAUACAGGAGUAUAAAGACGUGAUUGGAUAAUGAUGAAGGUAAUUAGUGACGAAGUGAUUGAGUCUUCCUGGCAGAACUUAAAUCCCGAAUAACAGAUGGAUUAACCAUCUGUUAUGCUACAAAAAUCACAUAUCAAAGGAUGUAUGAACAUGUGUCAUUCUCCCACAACAUGAAUCGUUAUUAUGAUAAAAUCUAUAGGACAUCAUUAUUUUAAGGACAUUCAUACAAACUGUUGACCUUUCCAAAUGCGCCGCCUGUUGGCAAUUUGAUGAUUUGUCUAGAACAAUGAAAUUGCUAAUGUGCCUUAAAAUCCAAACGUUUUACAAGUAAGUGUGUCCACAGGGUAUCUGUGCAUGUCUAGGGUCAUACGAGUAAGCUUUGCUGAUAGUUGAAUGGAGAAGACAAAGGUUGGCUCGAUCGGGAGCACUCUUGCAGCGCCUGACUGGGAGUUCAAUACUAAGGACGAUUUGGUUGUCUGCGAGGGUAGACGCUGUAAGGCUUACUUGAAUAAUUGUUUAGCAAAUCCAAUGAGCUGCUUCCGAUAACGAGUCAGAAAAAUCUUGGUGCAGUCAUUGUAUUCGAAAUUAAGCGUGCAAAAAAUUAAUUGAAUUUCCUGUACCCAAUGUACCCUAAAUAGGUGCCAUGAAUCAGCGAUAUGGUCAUUGUCAAAUCAUCAUAUUGUCAGCACGUGAGAUCAUUGGUACAUAUCGAUGAUGUAAUUGUGCAUGGGUGGAGUAAGAGAAAGAUUCUUAAUUCUUGUCAGAGCUUACUAUUUGCCAUUUUUACCAUGCAGGUGCCCUAAAAAGAGCCUAAGAAAUUACCAAAAAUCAAAAAAUAUACUUUCGGAUGUACCGAUAAACUGGUAUUAAAUAUAAAAUACUAUAUUUAAAACUGCUAGUUCAUGUAGUCGGCACUACUGUCAUCUCGCUUGUUCUGUGACAAAUUGCUGCAUCUGCGCACGGAAGUUAUCAGUCUAAAUGUUCUGCAAAAUCAGUCAACGGUGCAAAAACAAUAGUAGAUUUCAUUUAAAGUCCAAUGAUUUAACCCUAAUAUGGACGUAAACGAACACCUUAAAUUAUAAGGUAUUCCAAAACAGGUAAGUUCAUAUGUUUGUAUUGAGCUUGGUUGAACUGAUGCCUUGGUUAUACGUGCUCCGGAC
rnacentral:lncRNA from 1 species